rnacentral:lncRNA from 10 species
CCGCAGCCCACCCACCCGAGCGCACAGCUCCUCACCUGAGGGGCCCAGUCGCGUCGGGCCUCCCGAGGGGGCUGCGAGUGUCAGUCGGCUCUCCGCACGUGUCCGCGGCCUCGCGGAGCAGUCCACCCCUGGCUGGUUUCUGCUUCCACCUGCUGAUCUCACAGAGCUUGAUUUUGACACAAAGCAAGAUACUGAACAUUAACACCACCACAGAGGCCUACUAUGUGCUCCUGUCCCUGUUGUUACUUCCUCCAAAGCACUGCAAGCUAUUUGGCAUAUGAAGGUCUUGACCUGAGAAAACCAUCUUGGAUAACUGCAGCAAGGAAAAGGAAAAAUGCAACACCUAGGAGAUUUCAGUAAACAGUAGAAUCAUGCCAACCUAAUCUGUGUUAAAAUGCUUGGAAUGUGGGAGCCGCUGAUGAUGCCUCUUGUCUGUGUGUCUGACUGAAUCCUUUCUUUUCUCAGAGCAGCAAAGCAAAGCCUGGGAACCAGGCCAAAUGCCUGCCACUUACCUUAAAUUGAUCAGCCACUUUGAGAUUAAAACCCCUGAAAGCUGCCACACCGUGAAAACAAGGCCUCCUUCACAUUAAAGGUUGCUCUGCAGCAGACCUAUUUAAUUGUGCAUGGAUAUAAGUGAUUCAUCCUAACUAUACAUGCUUAAAGCUCCCCAGGGGAAAGGGGAAUGACCUUCCUGAUAUCUCUCCACCAUUCUUGUAACAGUCCUCUGUUCUGAAAAGACACUCAUUAAAUCUGGAAAAUUGAAGAUGCACAGAAUCUUUUGUGUCAUUUCAUAAAAUGCCAGCUACAACUCUGGAUGCAUGAGCACACAUGUGACCAUCACUUGCAAAUAAUACUGAUUAUUUCUGAGCCUGGGUUAGUCUGUUUAGCAAUCAUAAUAAGACAUUUGCCUUGUUUUGCAGAGUGUCAGAAAGCCACAGCCAUGAUAAAAGGAAACACAGAAAAAGCUAUGGCUCAGUGUGUUGGUCAACUCUGUUUCUGCCCCUUUUUAACCAGUUUGUCUUAUAAGUUUGUCGUUAAAAUUUUCCAUCACACCUAAUAGACUUUUAUCUUGAUCAUCAAUUUUAUAACUUCCAAGUCUUCAUACUUCAUAUUUCCUAUUAAUUGUGAUUGUUCUGUGUUUCUUUUUUUUCUAUUUUUUUAAAAAUUAUCUUUAAGUUCUGGGGUGCAUGUGCAGAACCUGCAGUUUUGUUACAUAGGUAUGCAUGUGCCAUGGUGGUUUGCUGCACCCGCGAAUCCAUCCACUACUUGAGGUAUUUCUCCUAAUGCUAUCCCUCUCCUAGCCCCCCACCCCGACAGGCCCUGGUAUGUGAUGUUCCCCUCCCU